UAAUACAACUGGGCCGUAUAUCAUGAAGUUGAUCAUCGUUACCUUGUGAUACAGCCAACUGUGUGUGUGCUCUGUUAUUUAGGCCAUUGAUCUUGGCAGCGGCAAUUUUUUUUCUGUUUGUAGGCCUCAUGCCGUCUCUUAUUAAUCUCAUCCCUAUUUUGUGCAUAUUGCUCUCUAUCCAUCUGCCUUUUUAUUUCUUUAGGGUCUGCAAAUCAUGACACAAUUCAGCAGUUGAGCAACAAUCGAGGGACUGGGUUAUGAUCAUUACCUGUUGGGAGUGCUCGGUGAGGCUUUUAGGUGAGGUCAGUACCAUGUGCAUUUGCCAAGGCUUCAUGGUAUGAUUUCAGGUUUAGGUCAGAAAAGCAACAGGAUCAAUCAAAUGGAUCACACUGGCAACAUGUUGGCAAAUAAGCAUGCACCUGCGGAGCAGUUCAUCGGCGCUGUGACUUCGUCGUAUGCGCAGUGCGGCGAUGGCGCGGGACAGUCUGGGUGGCGGCGGCGUGUAAAAGCCUCACAAAGUUCAGACAGUGUGGGCGGCACCUUUGUUGGCGAAGAGCUCAGACGUGAAUGACGCGGGGCAGGUCAGCUCGUCGCACCCGUCGUCGGGUCCCUCGCCGGCUGGGCAGGGCAGCGAUGGCGCAGGUCAACCUGGACGCCUGGAUGGGAACAAAGUUUAGACAGUCUGGGCGGUACCUGUAUUGACGAAGAGCUCGUCGUUGUGGCCGUCGUCUGGUGCCUUGCCGUCUACGCAGGGCAGCGAUGGCGCAGGUAAACCUGGAUGCCUGGACGGCAAUAGAGUUCAGCUAGUCUCGGCGCGGCACCUGUGUCGGCAAAGAGCUCGUCGUCGCCGCCGUGGUCGGGUGCCUCGUCGGCUGUCCAGGGCAGCGAUGUCGCGGGUUAACCUGGACGCCUGGAUGGCAACGCGGAACGGCGGCGGCGGCGGGGGAAAAU